GCUGAAACUUAAGCAUAUCAAUAAGCGGAGGAAAAGAAACCAACAGGGAUUGCCCUAGUAACGGCGAGUGAAGCGGCAACAGCUCAAAUUUGAAAUCUGGCUCUUUCAGAGUCCGAGUUGUAAUUUGCAGAGGGCGCUUUGGCUUUGGCAGCGGUCCAAGUUCCUUGGAACAGGACGUCACAGAGGGUGAGAAUCCCGUACGUGGUCGCUAGCUAUUGCCGUGUAAAGCCCCUUCGACGAGUCGAGUUGUUUGGGAAUGCAGCUCUAAAUGGGAGGUAAAUUUCUUCUAAAGCUAAAUAUUGGCCAGAGACCGAUAGCGCACAAGUAGAGUGAUCGAAAGAUGAAAAGCACUUUGGAAAGAGAGUCAAACAGCACGUGAAAUUGUUGAAAGGGAAGCGCUUGCAGCCAGACUUGCUUGCAGUUGCUCAUCCGGGCUUUUGCCCGGUGCACUCUUCUGUAGGCAGGCCAGCAUCAGUUUGGGCGGUGGGAUAAAGGUCUCUGUCACGUACCUCUCUUCGGGGAGGCCUUAUAGGGGAGACGACAUACCACCAGCCUAGACUGAGGUCCGCGCAUCUGCUAGGAUGCUGGCGUAAUGGCUGUAAGCGGCCCGUCUUGAAACACGGACCAAGGAGUCUAACAUCUAUGCGAGUGUUUGGGUGUCAAGCCCGAGCGCGUAAUGAAAGUGAACGGAGGUGGGAACCCGCAAGGGUGCACCAUCGACCGAUCCUGAAGUUUACGGAAGGAUUUGAGUAAGAGCAUGGCUGUUGGGACCCGAAAGAUGGUGAACUAUGCUUGAAUAGGGUGAAGCCAGAGGAAACUCUGGUGGAGGCUCGCAGCGGUUCUGACGUGCAAAUCGAUCGUCAAAUUUGGGCAUAGGGGCGAAAGACUAAUCGAACUAUCUAGUAGCUGGUUCCUGCCGAAGUU
rnacentral:rRNA from 1 species